rnacentral:rRNA from 2 species
UACGUAGGGGCCGAGCGUUGUCCGGAGUUAUUGGGCGUAAAGCGCGCGCAGGCGGCUUCGCGCGUCCGACGUGAAAGCCCCCGGCUCAACCGGGGAGGGUCGUUGGGUACGGCGGAGCUUGAGGGCGGUAGAGGUUGGUGGAAUUCCCGGUGUAGUGGUGAAAUGCGUAGAGAUCGGGAGGAACACCUGUGGCGAAGGCGGCCAACUGGGCCGACCCUGACGCUGAGGCGCGAAGGCGUGGGGAGCGAACGGG